rfam:Parabacteroides distasonis ATCC 8503, complete genome.
CUUUUCACAUAGGGGUGCCCGAGUCAUACGGGCUGAGAUUAUACCCAUCGAACCUGAUCCGGGUAAUGCCGGCGAAGGGAAAAUAAGGUAGAACUAG